UCAUUUAUUAUUUCACUUUUUACAGGAUACUAAAUUAUUUCUGUUACCUGCACUAGGAGUGUCCGGUUUGUUUUCCCGUUCCAGAUGGUAAUAGCAUCCUUUCAACAAAAUCUUGUGCAGAUCCUUGACGUCAAUUCCAGUCGAUUUAUCCUCUUCACUUUUGUGACACAUGAAGACACACGGCUGCGUACAGUCUCUGUUUAAGAGUAUUAUGUAUGUCUGAGGCCUUCCACAGUUCCACUUGUAUUCAAAUUUCAAAUUUGGCAACCGACAGUUUGCAGACGAAUUUACCUGGCUUUUCAGUAGUCACGUGUUUGAUAAUAACAAUACAAUUGUUAAUGGUUGUUUUUUACUACAAAAAAUGGAUUUCUAUAAAAAAAUACCUAGAGGGACACACACAGAAGAGCCAUUCGAGACAAAACAAGACUGUUUCAGACAGGCUUUUGGAGGUA